UACAGAGGGUGCUAGCGUUGUUCGGAAUCAUUGGGCGUAAAGGGCGUGUAGGCGGUUUGUUAAGUCAUGUGUGAAAUCCCUCGGCUCAACCGGGGAACGACGCAUGAAACUGGCAAGCUAGAGUACCAAAGAGGGGGGUGGAAUUCCCGGUGUAGCGGUGAAAUGCGUAGAUAUCAGGAGGAACACCGAUGGCGAAGGCAGGUCUCUGGGCAUUAACUGACGCUGAGGAGCGAAAGCAUGGGGAGCGAACAGG
rnacentral:rRNA from 1 species